rnacentral:rRNA from 1 species
UACAGGGGGGGCAAGCGUUGUUCGGAAUUACUGGGCGUAAAGGGUUCGUAGGUGGCUACCUAAGUCAGACGUGAAAUCCCUCAGCUUAACUGGGGAACUGCGUCUGAUACUGGGUGGCUUGAGUGCAGGAGAGGAACGCAGAAUUCCAGGUGUAGCGGUGAAAUGCGUAGAUAUCUGGAGGAACACCGGUGGCGAAGGCGGCGUUCUGGACUGUAACUGACACUGAUGAACGAAAGCCAGGGGAGCAAACGGG